rnacentral:lncRNA from 1 species
GCAAAAAUGCCGGCUGAAUCCGACCCGUCAAUAAUGGAUGGGGCUAGAAGGGCACUCGCUUGUGAUGAGGGAGGGCGACGCGGAGCACAGCGGUGCAGUGGAAGGUGGGCGAGGUGGCACCUCUCGUGUCGACCGGACGAACCGCACCGGCGCGUUUAAAACAACCUUCAUGCCGCUGAAACAGGCACAGCGCUUGACUGCUUCUCUUUCUGCGCAUUGACAUCAACGGACCCAUACCAUGCGAGCGGCAUCUGCGCUGCAGGGAUGCUUAGCAAAGAGUAUUUCUAUUUCCCCGUGCCGAUGACAUCAAGCGCCGAGGACGCCGAGACUCCUCCACCAGCCUCCAUCCACGGCGUCCCACCGGGUGGGCGUAAGUGGCGUUCUGUAGCAGCCAAAGCAGGUGUUGCUGAAGUGAAGCGUGCAGCUCCCCCCACCGCUCCGUCUCUCUCCCCGGAUCUCGCGUUGGCCCUCACCUCUCCUCCUUUUCUUUUUUCCCCCUUUCGUUGUUGUUGUUUUUGGUGGAAGCUCUGUCACCGCUGUCGCUGUCGCGCCGCCGGUUUGUUUUGAUCGUGCAGGAGUAUCCGGCAAGCCCGUGUUCAAAGCUGCCACCUACCUCUUUUAAUAAGGGCCGAUCUAACGCAAAAAUAAUACACCAUUUUAACUCAACGGUAAUAACACACACAAUAUGAUAUAUGAUUAAUAUCACAAUAGCGUUGAUUCUGCCAUAGGCGAUGCUUUGCCCAAAUUUAAAAGCAGAAUUUGAUCACAAAAGAUUAGAGGUACACGUCGUCAGUUCCUCACUGAUGCACGGGCUUAUGUGUUCAACUUAAUCUUUGAUACAUCAUCUCUGGAUACCGCAGCAUUAGUGAGCUACCGUUUUGUGCCCCGCCCAUAAUUUAAACAGUUUCAACCUUGGAAUCUGAUUGGCUGAUACCAAUGUUAACUGCCCACACCGCAGACCGCAUUUUGAAAAUCUGAAGCAUUGGCAAAUUUCCAGCAUGCCAGUU